GAAGAUUCGCAAAAGACACGAAAGGCGGCUUUUAGGUGCGGAACUAGCCAUACAUCAACUGCCAACACUUGUUUGCUUUUCCGUAGCUAGAUUUGCUUCGACGGCCUCCCACCGACCAAUAUCUAUCUAUCUAUCUAUCUAUCUUCCAAACACCACCAACCAACGACUAACAAAGUCAAACUCAAUCUAUACAACAACAAUGGAGCAUACCACUACUAGUGACACACAAGAACAACCAUCAGUAAAACAGAACCACCUUGUUUUUGCGAUUAAUGGACAACGUUUUGAGGUCUCUAACGUUGACCCGUCAACGACUUUGCUUCACUUCUUGCGUUCUCAAAGUCGGUUCAAGAGUGUUAAGCUUGGCUGUGGUGAAGGUGGUUGCGGUGCUUGUAAUGUUCUACUGUCCAAGUUUGACUCCAACCUCAAUCAAGUUGAAGAUUAUACAGUCAGUUCAUGUCUUACACUUCUUUGCAGCAUAAACGGGUGCUCAAUUACUACAACCGAAGGACUUGGGAACAGCAAAGAUGGAUUUCAUUCCAUUCACCAACGUUUUGCAGGCUUUCAUGCAUCUCAGUGCGGUUUUUGCACUCCAGGGAUGUGUGUUUCACUCUUCUCUGCACUUGUGAAUGCAGAAAAAACCCAUCGACCUGAACCCGCUCCUGGCUUGUCUAAACUCACUGCCUCAGAAGCCGAGAAGUCAAUAUCUGGGAAUCUAUGCAGGUGCACUGGUUAUCGACCCAUUGCUGAUGUAUGCAAAAGUUUUGCAGCUGAUGUUGAUAUGGAAGAUUUGGGGCUUAAUGCAUUUUGGAAUAAGGAUGCCAAACUACAUAAACUACCUAUUUAUGAUUCAAAACAGAUACGUACAUACCCCGAGUUCUUGAAAAACGAAUACAAGUCUGCCACAGUUUUGAAUUAUCAGAAUUGGUCUUGGCAUAGUCCGCUUUCUAUAGAGGAACUUGGGAGAUCACUGGAAGCUGUAAAAGGUGUGAAGGUAAAACUGGUUGCUGGUAACACAGGAAUCGGUUAUUAUAAGGAAACCAAACAUUAUGACAAAUACAUUGAUUUAAGGUUUAUUCCCGAGCUUUCUGUAAUUACGAGAGUUGACUCACAGAUUGAAGUUGGAGCAACUGUUUCAAUCUCUAAAUUAAUCUUGGCUUUAAAAGAAGAAAGAAAAGAUGAUUCUUGCUCCAAAGAUGAUAUGGUGUUCAAGAAAAUUGCUUCACAUUUUGAGAAAAUUGCUUCUCAAUCUGUUCGAAAUUUAGCAAGUAUAGGUGGAAAUUUGGUGAUGGCUCAAAGGCAGAAUUUCCCUUCUGAUAUUGCUACAGUACUUCUUGCUGUGAAAUCAAAAGUUACUAUCCUGACAGGGGUAAAAAAAGAAACUAUUACACUAGAGGAGUUUCUUGAAAAGCCCACUUUAGAUUCAAGAAACGUACUUUUGAGUGUACAGAUCCCAUGCUUGAAAUCAACCAAAAAUGGCUACUCGAAGAAAACUGGGACAAAACUUUUAUUUGAAACUUAUCGUGCUUCACCACGCCCUCUUGGGAAUGCAUUGCCUUAUUUAAAUGCUGCUUUUUUCGCUGAUGUUUCUUCAUGUGAUAGUAGCAUUGUUAUAAACAGUAUUCAGUUGGCUUUUGGUUCUUUUGGGGUUAAACAUGCAAUCAGGGCGAGCAUGGUUGAAAAUCAUAUUGUGGGAAAGACGUUAAGUGUUGGUUUAUUAUAUGAAACUCUCAAAUUGGUAAGGGAGUCUGUUUCGCCUGAAAAUGGGACAUCCCAUCUUGCUUAUCGAUCGAGCUUGGCUGUUGCCUUUCUUUUUGACUUCCUCUUACCAAUACUUGAUUCUUACGGUUCCAUUCCUAAAUCCAAUUACAGCUCUCCUGAACUUGGUUCAAGAAUGACAUUUGAUGAUUGUGAAAGAGCAUUAUUGUCAUCUGCAAAGCAGGUGAUAGAAUCGAGCAAUGAAUAUUACCCGGUCGGUCAACCAAUCGUAAAGUCUGGUGCUGCCAUUCAGGCUUCUGGUGAAGCUGUUUUUGUAGAUGACAUUCCUUCACCAUUGAACUGCCUUCAUGGAGCAUUCAUUUAUAGCACCAAGCCGCUAGCAUGGGUGAAGGGCAUCAAGUUAAACUCUAAAUCAGAUGUAAAUGGUGUUAUUUCAUUUCGCGAUAUUCCAGAAGGUGGGGAUAAUAUAGGAGCUAAGACCUUAUUUGGUCCUGAAUCUUUAUUCGCCAAUGAGCUAACCGAAUGUACUGGUCAGCGAAUAGCAUUUUCGGUGGCAGAUACACAGAAGAAUGCAGAUAUGGCAGCUGAUAUGGCCAUGAUUGAUUACAGCACUGAAGACUUAGAGCCACCUAUAUUAACUGUUGAACAGGCGGUUGAGAAAUCAAGCUUUUUUGAAGUCCCUUCAUUUUUAUAUCCUUCACAGAUUGGUGAUUUUUCGAAAGGAAUGGCUGAUGCUGAUCACCAAAUCCGCUCUGCUGAGAUUACACUUCCAUCACAGUACUAUUUCUAUAUGGAGACACAAACUGCAUUAGCUGUUCCAGAUGAAGACAACUGCAUGGUGGUGUACAGUUCCAUUCAGGUCCCCGAGUAUGCACAAAGUGUGAUUGCACAGUGUCUUAAUAUUCCCGAACAUAAUGUCCGUGUAAUUACGAGGAGAGUUGGAGGAGGGUUCGGUGGCAAGGCUAUUAAAGCUAUGCCCGUAGCAACAGCAUGUGCACUUGCAGCGUACAACUUACGCCGCCCGGUAAGAACAUAUGUCAACCGGAAAGCCGACAUGAUAAUGGCGGGAGGAAGACAUCCCAUGAAGAUAAAUUACACAGUAGGCUUUAAAUCAAAUGGAAAGAUCACAGCCCUACAUCUUGAUAUUCUAGUCAACGCUGGGAUGUCACCCGAUGUAAGCCCUAUAUUACCAUGGAAUAUGAUUGGUGCACUUAAAAAGUACGAUUUUGGUGCCUUUUCAUUCGACUUUAAAAUAUGUAAAACAAACCAUUCUAGUAAAUCUGCAAUGCGAGCUCCAGGAGAAGUACAAGCGUCAUUUAUAGCUGAAGUGGUGAUAGAGCAUAUUGCAGGUGUGCUUUCUAUCGAUGUUGGUUCUGUCAGGGAGACGAAUUUUCACAAUUUUGAUAGCCUUCGGAAAUUUUAUGGUGUUAGUGCUGGUGAGCCUUCAGAGUAUACUUUACCACUUAUAUGGGAUAAGUUAAUGAAAUCUUCAAACUUUGACUACAGAGUUGAACAAGUCAACAAGUUCAAUGAGCGUAAUAUAUGGCGAAAAAGGGGCCUUUCUCGAGUACCUGUUUUGCACGAGGUGUCAUUGAGACCGACACCCGGCAAAGUAAGUAUCUUACGGGAUGGGUCAGUCGUAGUAGAAGUUGGUGGUAUUGAAUUGGGUCAGGGGUUAUGGACCAAGGUUAAACAAAUGACUGCUUAUUGUCUAAGUUUGGUUCAGUGUGAUGGAGCCGAUGGGCUAUUGGACAAGGUACGGGUCAUACAAGCAGAUACAUUGAGUAUGAUUCAAGGCGGGUUUACUGCUGGAAGCACUACUUCUGAAGCAAGCUGUGAGGCAGUCAGACUUUGCUGCAGUGUUUUGGUUGAAAGGCUCAUGCCUUUAAAGGAAAGGCUAAAAGAACAAACAGGCUCAAUUAAAUGGGACUUUCUUAUUCUGCAAGCACAUUCCCAAUCCCUUAAUUUAUCAGCAAGCUCAUUUUUUGUACCCGAGUAUACGUCCAUGAGAUACAUUAAUUACGGUGCUGCAGUAAGUGAGGUGGAGGUAAACAUUCUGACCGGAGAAACCAAAUGCUUGCAAGCAGACUUAAUAUAUGAUUGUGGACAGAGCUUGAAUCCUGCUGUGGAUUUGGGACAGAUUGAGGGGGCAUUUGUGCAAGGAAUGGGGUUUUUUAUUCAUGAAGAGUACCUUACAAACUCUGAUGGCUUGGUUGUUGUGGACGGCACAUGGACAUACAAGAUCCCAACAAUUGACACUAUACCUAGCCAACUCAAUGUGCAAAUACUUAACAGUGGACAUCAUAAAGAGCGUGUUCUUUCUUCAAAAGCUUCUGGUGAGCCACCAUUACUUCUAGCAGCUUCUGUUCAUUGUGCAACUAGAGCCGCCAUUAGAGAAGCAAGAAACCAACUGUCUCGUUGGAAGGGAUUAGAAUCAGACGGUUCUGAUUCAUUUUUCCAGUUAGAUGUUCCUGCUACCAUGCCAGUGGUGAAGACAAUGUGUGGGCUCGAUAAUGUUGAAUUUUACCUUCAGACCUUGUUAUCUGGCUCGUAAAAAAUGGUGAAAAGCAAUAUGAUUGUUAGAUGGUCAUCAUGGAUUUGGUUGUCGCGAAUGAGGUUGUUCCGGAUGUGGAAACAAGAUUUAGUGCUUUGAAGAUUAAUGAUGAUAUGAAUUGUGGAAAUGUUGACUUUUACGGUAAAAAUUGGUUAAUGGCUAGAACCCAUAGUGACUCCCUUGGGACUAUUGGCUCUUGGUACAUAUGAGGUGUUUUUGGUAAAGUUUUGUUAUGUACAUUUCUGGAAAAAGUUGAGUUAUAGUCAUAGUCUUUCGUAUAUUGAUGUAUUAUAAAACCCUAGUCGAUGUCAACUUGGGUAAUAUGACUCGUUUAGUCUUGUAAACUCGGUUUGUGGCAACGGAUGGUAUAAAGACUUUUGGAAAUGUUGUGUUA